rnacentral:rRNA from 1 species
UCGAACGAUGAAGCCCUUCGGGGUGGAUUAGUGGCGAACGGGUGAGUAACACGUGGGCAAUCUGCCCUUCACUCUGGGACAAGCCCUGGAAACGGGGUCUAAUACCGGAUAACACUCCUGCCUGCAUGGGCGGGGGUUAAAAGCUCCGGCGGUGAAGGAUGAGCCCGCGGCCUAUCAGCUUGUUGGUGGGGUAAUGGCCCACCAAGGCGACGACGGGUAGCCGGCCUGAGAGGGCGACCGGCCACACUGGGACUGAGACACGGCCCAGACUCCUACGGGAGGCAGCAGUGGGGAAUAUUGCACAAUGGGCGAAAGCCUGAUGCAGCGACGCCGCGUGAGGGAUGACGGCCUUCGGGUUGUAAACCUCUUUCAGCAGGGAAGAAGCGAAAGUGACGGUACCUGCAGAAGAAGCGCCGGCUAACUACGUGCCAGCAGCCGCGGUAAUACGUAGGGCGCAAGCGUUGUCCGGAAUUAUUGGGCGUAAAGAGCUCGUAGGCGGCUUGUCACGUCGGAUGUGAAAGCCCGAGGCUUAACCUCGGGUCUGCAUUCGAUACGGGCUAGCUAGAGUGUGGUAGGGGAGAUCGGAAUUCCUGGUGUAGCGGUGAAAUGCGCAGAUAUCAGGAGGAACACCGGUGGCGAAGGCGGAUCUCUGGGCCAUUACUGACGCUGAGGAGCGAAAGCGUGGGGAGCGAACAGGAU